AUGCUUCUCCUAAAGACUAAGCCAUGCAUGUCUUCGAAUAAGAGGAAGCAAUUCUCUCUGAAUCUGCGUACGGCUCCGCACACCAGUUGUAAACCGAAGCAAGCCAGACUGGUCUCGACGCCUCGCAAGGGGCUAGGGGCCAGUCUACAAGGAUAACCCUGGUAAUUCUGAGGCUAAUACGUGACACUAACCUGCUGACUGGGUUCGCUCGGGAGGCGGGGGAUGUGCGAUCGUCGGGCCAAACAAACCGGAAAGAGCG
rnacentral:rRNA from 1 species